rnacentral:rRNA from 1 species
UACAGAGGGUGCAAACGUUGCUCGGAAUCACUGGGCGUAAAGGGCGCGUAGGCGGACAAGUAAGUCGGGCGUGAAAUCCCUAGGCUCAACCUAGGAACUGCACUCGAAACUGCAUGUCUUGAGUACCGGAGAGGAAAGCGGAAUACCUGGUGUAGAGGUGAAAUUCGUAGAUAUCAGGUGGAACACCAGUGGCGAAGGCGGCUUUCUGGACGGUAACUGACGCUGAGGCGCGAAAGCGUGGGGAGCAAACAGG